UGCUGUGGCCGGUGUCUGCCAGGCAUUUGGCCGUGGCAGGGGAUGUGCAGGUGCCUGAUCUCUCCCACCUGCAAUAGUGAGCACUGCUGGCCUCUUCAGCAGUCCACCACCUGCUGCAGCACAGACUUGUCUUUCAGGCUCAUUUUUGCUUACAUUUCUGCGUUUCAUUUUUUUUGGAGGCUAUGCAGAUGGAUGUUCAAAUCAUUCGGACCUGAAAGGCUUGGCUGAGUGCUCAGGAACCACGCAAGCUUUGGGGAAAGCAGCUCAAGGAGGAGAAGAUGCUUGAGAUGCUUGUGAGAGUGGAGGCAGCCUUUGUGUUCCUCCUCUGCCCCAUGGCAAGGUGCUGCAGGCAGCUGAACAAUAACCUUCCAAACCCAGCAGCAUGGACACAGUGCAGUGUGGCACCUACAAGUCUGUCCCCCAGGCAACAGCUUGGAAGGAGACCGCCAUACCACUACAUGACACUCUUUGCAUCUUCUGUGUGGUGAUGUGGGGCAUGGGUAACUGAAGGUUUGCUCUUUGGACUGGGAAGGAGAACACUAACUUGCUGAGCUACCCUGCAGGCUGUGGAUAAAUGCAUCUUGGCGUCACAGGCAUGGCUUUUCUGGAUUACUCACAGGAUGUCUGGUUUUCUCCUUGCCAAUAUGAUCUAUAAAAGGCAGGUGACAACAUUACGUGUGUAGGUGUAGAGCAUCCACAAUGAAGCAGAAGGGAAUCCCAACGUUUGCCGUAUGCAUGGUGUGUGCCUUGUGGAGCAGAGCACUGCCUGGCUCUGCCUUACCCUGCCCUUCGCAUCUGGUAUUCUCUGCCUGCCAUGCCCGACAGGGCGCCCUGUGGGGUAUCCCUCAAUUGCUUCUCAUGAGUAAGGACAUUAUUUUUGAUCCAAACUAAUAUGUAAUUAUCUAUUUCAGAAUGUUUUAUUAGGAAUUAGGACCCUUUUUAUAUUUUAACCAAACAUAUUCAUUUCACAGCAUGUUAAAAAUCAUUUUCUCUCCUCUAACUGUGUUUAUCCUUUCUCUGUAAUAUUUCACAGCUGAAGUCCUUUUCUA
rnacentral:lncRNA from 1 species